rnacentral:rRNA from 1 species
UACAGAGGGUGCAAGCGUUAAUCGGAGUUACUGGGCGUAAAGGGCGCGUAGGCGGAUGUUUAAGUCGGGUGUGAAAUCCCUGGGCUCAACCUAGGAAUUGCAUUCGAUACUGGAUGUCUAGAGUAUGGUAGAGGAAAGUGGAAUUCCCGGUGUAGUGGUUAAAUACGUAGAUAUCGGGAGGAACACCAGUGGCGAAGGCGGCUUUCUGGUCCAAUACUGACGCUGAGGCGCGAAAGCGUGGGGAU